GACGAACGCUGGCGGCGUGCUUAACACAUGCAAGUCGAACGGAACGGCCCUGCUUUUGUGGGGUACUCGAGUGGCGAACGGGUGUGUAUCACGUUAGUAACCUGCCCGUCACUUUGGUAUAACUUCGGGAAACUGGCUCUAAUACCGGAUAGGCGCUCCUGCUGCAUUGUUGGUGUUGGAAAGUUUCGGCGGUUGGGGAUGGACUCGCGGCUUAUCUGCUUGUUGGUGGGGUGGUGGCUUAGCAGGGCUUUGACGGGUAGCAGUCCUGGGUGGGUGACAGGCAACAGUGGGACUGAGACACGGCCAAGACUCCUACGGGAGCGAGCAGUAGGGAAGAUGGCACUAGGGGCGGAAGCCUGAUGCAGCAACGCCGCGGGCGGGAUGACGGCCAUCGAGUUGUAAACCGCUUGCGCCUGUGACGAAGCGGGAGUGACGGGAAUGGGUAAAGAAGCACCGGCUAACUAAGUG
rnacentral:rRNA from 1 species